UGUUAAAACUUUCAUCAAUUUCUACCGAUAAAAACUGGCAUGGCUAAGGGAAAACCAGACAGUUACACCUAGCAUGCCACGUGUACCACAUUUUGACGUACAAGGACCAGUUUUUAACAGUAGAAAUGUAUGAAAUUUUUAAUA
rfam:Gossypium hirsutum cultivar TM-1 chromosome 17, whole genome shotgun sequence